AACCUGGUUGAUCCUGCCAGAGGCCUUUGAUAUUGGGAUUCGACUAAGCCAUGCGAGUCGAGAGGCUUCGGCCCUCGGCUGACGGCUCAGUAACACGUGGAUAAUCUGCCCUUAGGUGGAGGAUAACCUCGGGAAACUGAGAAUAAUACUCCAUAGGUCUAGGAUGCUGGAAUGCAUCUAGACUGAAAACUCCGGUGCCUAAGGAUGAGUCUGCGGACUAUCAGGUUGUAGUCAGGGUAAAGACCUGACUAGCCUACGACGGAUAUGGGUUGUGAGAGCAAUAACCCAGAGAUGAUAUCUGAGACACGAUAUCAGGCCCUACGGGGCGCAGCAGGCGCGAAAACUUCACACUGUGCGAAAGCACGAUGAGGGAAUCCCAAGUGCCAGCUCGUAAGAGUUGGCUGUUUUUCUGUCUAAAACACAGAGAGAGUAAGAGCUGGGUAAGACGGGUGCCAGCCGCCGCGGUAAUACCUGCAGCUCGAGUGGUGGCCGCUAUUAUUGGGCCUAAAACGUCCGUAGCCGGUUUGGUAAAUGCCUGGGUAAAUCGUGUAGCUUAACUAUACGAAUUCCGGGUAGACUGCUAAACUUGAGACCGGGAGAGGCUAGAGGUACUCCUGGGGUAGAGGUGAAAUUCUGUAAUCCUGGGGGGACCACCAGUGGCGAAGGCGUCUAGCUAGAACGGAUCUGACGGUGAGGGACGAAGCCCUGGGGCGCAAACCGGAUUAGAUACCCGGGUAGUCCAGGGUGUAAACGCUGCUUGCUUGAU
rnacentral:rRNA from 1 species